rnacentral:pre_miRNA from 2 species
CCUUUUUACGUUUCUAAAACAACAUUGAUUUGGCGUGAAACAUUUUUUUUGUCAGCGAAAUGCGAAAUGUUUUUCACGCCAAAUCAAUGUUGUUUUAGAAACGUAAAAA